GACGAACGCUGGCGGCGUGCUUAACACAUGCAAGUCGAACGGAAAGGCCCUGCUUUUGUGGGGUGCUCGAGUGGCGAACGGGUGAGUAACACGUGAGUAACCUGCCCUUGACUUUGUGAUAACUUCAGGAAACUGGGGCUAAUACCGGAUAGGUGCUCCUGCUGCAUGGUGGGGGUUGGAAAGUUUCGGCGGUUGGGGAUGGACUCGCGGCUUAUCAGCUUGUUGGUGGGGUAGUGGCUUACCAAGGCUUUGACGGGUAGCCGGCCUGAGAGGGUGACCGGCCACAUUGGGACUGAGAUACGGACCAGACUGCUACGGGAGGCAGCAGUGGGGAAUAUUGCACAAUGGGCGGAAGCCUGAUGCAGCAACGCCGCGUGCGGGAUGACGGCCUUCGGGUUGUAAACCGCUUUCGCCUGUGACGAAGCGUGAGUGACGGUAAUGGGUAAAGAAGCACCGGCUAACUACGUG
rnacentral:rRNA from 1 species